AGAGAGAGGUAGAGAGAGAGGUAGAGAGAGAGGUAGAGAGAGAGGUAGAGAGAGCAUUAAGAAAGGGAUAUAGAGAGAAGUAGAGAGAGAUAGAGAGAGGUAGAGAGAGAUAGAGAGAGGUAGAGAGAUGUAGAGAGCACGUUAAGAAAGGGGUAUAGAGAGAGGCAGAGAGAGCGUUAAGAAAGGGGUAUAGAGAGAGGUAGAGAGAGGUAGAGAGAGCGUUAAGAAAGGGGUAUAGAGAGAGGUAGAGAGAGCGUUAAGAAAGGGGUACAGAGAGAGGUAGAGAGAGAGUGAGAGCGAGAGAGAGAGGUAGAGAGAGAGAUGGUUUAGAAAGGGUAUAGAGAGAGGUAGAGAGAGGGUUUAGAAAGGGUAUAGAGAGAGAGAGAGU